AUGAUCUUUUUGCCCUUAAAAAAUUUUAAAAUUGGAAAAUUUAUUAUAGUCCUUCGUGUUUUCUCCUCUCAUUCGUGUUUUCACCUUUUUCCAUCGUGUUUCUUCUGUUCGUUGCUUCUCGCGUUUUUCGCUAGCUGCUUCUCUUGUCCUAACUCCUACUCCGCCUCAAUUGCUUCAAGCUUGGCUUCGAGCUUCUUUCUAUUCUUCUUCUUCUCUACUUCAGUUUUCUGCUUUUCUAUUUUGUUCUCUAUCAUGUUAUUCUCUAUUUAUUGUUUUUCUAUUCGUUUUCAAGUUGUUUUUUUUCAUAUAAUUAGUCCAAAAAGAUAUUUAAUCUACAAUAAAUAUAUAGGUAGAUUAUUCAUAUAA